rnacentral:rRNA from 1 species
CCUACGGGAGGCUGCAGUCGAGAAUCAUUCACAAUGGGGGAAACCCUGAUGGUGCGACGCCGCGUGGGGGAAUGAAGGUCUUCGGAUUGUAAACCCCUGUCAUGUGGGAGCAAAUUAAAAAGAUAGUACCACAAGAGGAAGAGACGGCUCACGCUGUGCCAGCAGCCGCGGUAAUACAGAGGUCUCAAGCGUUGUUCGGAAUCACGGGGCGUAAAGGGUGCGUAGGCUGUUUCGUAAGUCGUGUGUGAAAGGCGCGGGCUCAACCCGCGGACGGCUCAUGAUACUGCGAGACUAGAGUAAUGGAGGGGGACCCGGAAUUCUCGGUGGAGCAGUGAAAGGCGUAGAUAUCGAGAGGAACACUCGUGGCGAAGGCGGGUUCCUGGACAUCAACUGACGCUGAGGCACGAAGGCCAGGGGAGCGAAAGGGAUUAGAUACCCUAGUAGUC